AGCAUUUCAGUCCCAACCACUUAACAGAUCUCUAAGAAGUUCCAUACUUUCCCCCUUCUUCCUGUCUUCUUCUGAACCCUUCAAACUUGUCCAACCUUUGC